GACGAACGCUGGCGGCGUGCUUAACACAUGCAAGUCGAACGGAAAGGCCCUGCUUUUGUGGGGUGCUCGAGUGGCGAACGGGUGAGUAACACGUGAGUAACCUGCCCUUGACUUUGGGAUAACUUCAGGAAACUGGGGCUAAUACCGGAUAGGAGCUCCUGCUGCAUGGUGGGGGUUGGAAAGUUUCGGCGGUUGGGGAUGGACUAGCGGCUUAUCAGCUUGUUGGUGGGGUAAUGGCCUACCAAGGCGGCGACGGGUAGCCGGCCUGAGAGGGUGGACGGCCACAUUGGGACUGAGACACGGCCCAGACUCCUACGGGAGGCAGCAGUGGGGAAUAUUGCACAAUGGGCGGAAGCCUGAUGCAGCGACGCCGCGUGGGGGAUGACGGCCUUCGGGUUGUAAACUCCUUUCACCAUCGACGAAGGGUUUCUGACGGUAGAUGGAGAAGAAGCACCGGCUAACUACGUG
rnacentral:rRNA from 1 species